rnacentral:rRNA from 1 species
UCCAGACUCCUACGGGAGGCAGCAGUGGGGAAUAUUGCACAAUGGGGGGAACCCUGAUGCAGCGACGCCGCGUGGGUGAAGGAGCACCUCGGUGCGUAAAGCCCUAUCGGCAGGGAAGAAACAGACGGUACCUGACUAAGAAGCCCCGGCUAACUACGUGCCAGCAGCCGCGGUAAUACGUAGGGGGCAAGCGUUAUCCGGAUUCACUGGGUGUAAAGGGAGCGUAGACGGCGACGCAAGUCUGGAGUGAAAGCCCGGGGCCCAACCCCGGGACUGCAUUGGGAACUGGCGUGCUGGAGUGCCGGAGGGGCAGGCGGAAUUCCUGGUGUAGCGGUGAAAUGCGUAGAUAUCAGGAGGAACACCGGUGGCGAAGGCGGCCUGCUGGACGGAUACUGACGCUGAGGCCCGAAAGCGUGGGGAGCGAACAGGAUUAGAUACCCCCGUAC